AUUGAACGCUGGCGGCAUGCCUUACACAUGCAAGUCGAACGGCAGCAUGGAGAGCUUGCUCUCUGAUGGCGAGUGGCGAACGGGUGAGUAAUGCAUCGGAACGUACCGUGUAAUGGGGGAUAACGUAGCGAAAGUUACGCUAAUACCGCAUACGACCUGAGGGUGAAAGCAGGGGAUCGCAAGACCUUGCGUUAUACGAGCGGCCGAUGUCAGAUUAGCUAGUUGGUGAGGUAAAGGCUAACCAAGGCGACGAUCUGUAGCGGGUCUGAGAGGAUGAAGCGCCACACUGGGACUGGGACACGGCCCAGACUCCUACGGGAGGCAACAGUGGGGAAUUUUGGACAAUGGGGGCAACCCUGCUCCAGCCAUGCCGCGUGAGUGAAGAAGGCCUUCGGGUUGUAAAGCUCUUUCGGCCGGGAAGAAAUCGCACAGGCUAAUACUCUGUGUGGAUGACGGUACCGGCAUAAGAAGCACCGGCUAACUACGUGCCAGCAGCCGCAGUAA
rnacentral:rRNA from 1 species